GUUCUUCCUGGGGGCAGUGCCACUAGGAGCCCCCUAGGAAUCAAAUUGGCUGGAUCAGCUUGACUACGACCAAAACAAGAAGUUACAGGCAAGGGAGCGGGGGCUGGAGGAAGCUUCCUGCUCUGCAAGAUUCCCUGGCUGCUGUGCAUGUUAUGCGAGGACAACAGGCGAGAGCAUGCCAAGAUGGCAGUCUAUCUGGAACAGCGAUAUCUUAAUCCUCAGAUUUCCUACCAAAGUGAUUCUAGAGUAUAUUGAACCCUCAGUGCCAGUCGAAGAGAAGAACCACACAAUGGCAGGUCAAGAUCCCAUAUGGCAUCAACAAUAAUAGCAAAGAGAAUGGAUAAGGUUUGGCUCACCAGAUGACUAGAACCUACAGAUCCUCAGAUCUUCCUACUCGUACCCCUCCUCCUCCUCCUCCACCACUAUCACUGCAUUGACAACUGUCAUAUGUUUUAACCCCAUGUUAAGUCAUCAUAUGUGUUUACACUUCAUCAUAGGAUUUUAGCCCUGUUACCCACUGAGUGUUUGAAGCCUUCCCUGUGUAUAUUCUGUCUCAGCUGUGCAACUCAUUUUUCUUAGCUUUGUUUUUAUCAUUAACUUUAAGAUGUUCAGUUGGUAUGUGCUUUUCUUUUGCCGUGUAUGUGACAUGUACUCAAAAUAAGAAGGACCUCUCUAUGUAUGAAGAGAUGGUUUAUUGCAACUCUCAGUACCUUGUAUUUUAUUACCUGUAGGUCACAACACAAUAUCUAUCCAGGGUAAAAGGAAAAUAUUAGAGAAA